rnacentral:rRNA from 1 species
UACGUAGGGUGCGAGCGUUGUCCGGAAUUAUUGGGCGUAAAGAGCUCGUAGGCGGCCUGUUGCGUCUGCUGUGAAAGCCCGGGGCUUAACCCCGGGUCUGCAGUGGAUACGGGCAGGCUAGAGUUCGGCAGGGGAGACUGGAAUUCCUGGUGUAGCGGUGAAAUGCGCAGAUAUCAGGAGGAACACCGGUGGCGAAGGCGGGUCUCUGGGCCGAUACUGACGCUGAGGAGCGAAAGCGUGGGAAGCGAACAGG